GGUUCAGCCCCCAGGGAGGUGUGCCCAGGCCCCACACCUCAGGAAGAGGAGCGAACCCAGAGUGGACCGCAGGGGGAAUGAGCAGCUGGACACGAAAUGCUGGCAAGAGCAAUAAUUCAUACAAACGUACAUUUUUAACAGAGCAGGGCUAGCAGAGGGACCGCAGUGUGAGGAGACAGGAGCAAACCUACCGGUCUGUAAGGCAUCUCACCUCCUUUGGAGAUCACAGCCUGUGCCUUGUCUGUGGAGAGACCCCAGAGUGCUAAAACUGAAGGGGACAGGACACAAAGGGCUGUCUGGGUCCUCCAGCCACCGGCAGCAGUGUGACAGAUACAUAGACCAGCCACGAUCCCCGCCUUCCUGAACCCCCAUCAUCAGGGUCAAAGAGUGCUUCCUAAAACUGCCCUGUGAGUUUCAGGUUCAUCUUUGAGUAGAAGAGUGGUGCCGACGGUGCCCAUCAACAAAACAUGAUGAACAGGGAUGAGGAGUAUUGCAAAAGCUACAAAGUUAGAAUUACACAUGUUCCUACAGCAGUAGGGACAUACUUGCUGAAGAAACUUUCAGAUGAGCCAAGGCUGUGGCCAACCCCUGUGCUCCAGAGGAAAGGAAGGAAAAGAAACACCAUGAGCCCAAUUCUCCCAUAACUCCUCAAAAAUGUCCCUUGCAUGGAGCUCUUGUGCCCCUCAGCAAAUCCCCUCAGGGGAUUUUGUCCCCUGCUCUGGGUCGGUAUGGUACCUGCCUACUGAAGAUAAGGCAUUUGUGCAAUGUCUUUGGCCAAUAUUUCCCAUUCAUCCUUCUCCUAAUGACAGCAAGAUUAACAAUUUAUUAUUAUUCAUAAUAGUACAGUCUAUUUAAGAAAAGCAAUUUGAACCAACCUGCCUGUAUCAAAACAAAAGCUUGUAAAAUCAUAAUAUUCUCUAUUUUCACAUCUCUGAUCCAAGCUUCUUGUGCAAGUUACCACUCUACAUUGUUAAAAGCUGAAAGCACCUAAUGCUGCAGGACAGAGGUUACCAUGGCCUUUCACCCAUCGUGUAGUAUUUUUUUUUUCUGCAUGGGAAACAACAGGGAGUAAAUGGAGUUGAGAAGCGAGUAAAGACUGCUGUCUGCAAUGGAGAAUGCAAUAGGUGGAACGUAAAUAAUUACCCGGGAGGUACAGGGCCCUCCCAGGCAUGUGUGACGGGAAAAUCACAGCACAGAUGGACGUGGCUGUGGUCCAUAUUAAUUUACGACAGUGAUUAUCUAGGCAAUGGGGCUGCUCACUUCAUUCGGAGAGAGAGCUUGCACCCCAAAAGCAGAACAGCAAAGCUAACGGCAGAGGAGCUGCUUUAUUAGCAUGGUCACAAGCAAGUCACUUUGCAAGGAUCAGGGUAGGCUCAGGAAUAUUUCAGCAAUACUCAGCAGUAAGGAGUUCUGUCAGAGCUUCCUGUGUCUGGAAAGGUUUUUGUGGGAGAGCACAGAAGAACACUUGUCACUGCUGUGUGGAAAGUCUUGAUGCAGCACUCCAGCUUUUAAAAACAACAGCUUUCUAUGACUGCCCAAAGUUUCUUCAUAAUUGGCUUAGAACAGCAGAGACCACCAGGCUGCAAGCAGCGCUUAUUCACUGUGUUAUAACAUUUAAGAACAACAAGUUGGGGCGCUAUUGAUUUUCUUAUGCUAAUAAAGAUGGUCAGGUGGAAUUUUCAAAGUGAGAUCUUUCCACCGAGUGCUUUUCCUUUCCAAUCGUCCAAGCAAGCAGCUGCGUCUCGCCGUGUGCCUCUCCUCCUGGCCAUUGGGCAGACUCAGAGAGCUGACCUGCUCUUUUUGCUGCUUGGAAGGUUUUGCUGAAGGAAGGAAUACCGAUGGCUGGAGGAGCAUGAUGUGAUGGAUGUGCAGAAGAAACAGCCUUGUAGCUGAUACAGUUGAUGAUCUGCUCACAAGCACUUUUCUUUGAAAAAGUACUGUUGUAUUACUGGAGGCAGUGUCUCCCUUGGGCUGGCUUCAGUAGGGUCGGUUGUGAAAGGACAAGGGGAAAUGGUUUCAAAUUAGAAGAGGGGAGAUUUAGGUUGGAUAUAAGGAAGUAUUUUACGGUAAGAGUGAUGAGGCACUGGAACAAGUUGCCCAGAGAGGUGGUGGGUGCCCCAUCCUUGGAGACAUUCAAGGUCAGGCUGGACAGGGCUCUGAGCACCAGAUCGAGCUGUAGGUGUCCCGGAUCAUUGCAGGGGGGUUGAAUCAGUUGAUCUUUAAUUAUCCCUUCCAACUCCAACAAUUCCAUGGUUCUAUGAUUCUUUGAUUAAACCAUCAACACAGGCUGGGAAGCUCUUCCCCAGUCACCCCAAGGGUCCCUGUAUCGGGGAACUCAAAUGGGAGGAUGAGUCCGGCAGUGCUCAAAACAAAACCCUUCUCUUCUGUCUGUCAGGAGCGUUGAAGCUUCAGUGAAGUUGGGCCUCAGCGCAUCUGCCUCGUGAACGCUGGACAGAAACGUUAGAAGCGCUGCCACAGUGACUUACCAGAGGGGCCUGUAGCUCUGGAGCGGCCUUGGCCAUGCCAAGAAACCCCUUGGGAUGAAUUCCUUUUUUGUGCACAUUGCUGGUCAUAGCCAUGUAAUAAUGCAGCCUUGCCUCGCCACUUGCAUGAACUUUGCUCUUAAGUAGAGCCCGAGCCAUUUCUAAACAAAGGCCUAAAUGUGAAAUUACAGUCAACUUCCAUGCCUAUGUUAUUACGAGAUUUUAAUUUUUCUAGGGAAUGAACAAUAGCAACUAUUUGGCUGCGCUGUUUUCCCGGGCGCUGGCACAAUGUGCAUCUUCUGUAAACUGACAUCUCAUGAUUUUGUCUGAAAAUGGAAUAUUUAACUGCGCACAUUUUCUUCUCUCAUAUUGGGUUUCAUUCAAAUGGUCUUAAACUUGUAUUUCUUUAUUGCUUAUUAACUUUAAUGAGGUAUGAAUAUAAAAGAGAAUAUUAAAAGGCUUUUCUUUUUCAAAAAGGCAUUUCUUUACAAACAGUGUUGACGUUAUCAAGUAGGUGAGUCUAAGCCCUUAAAUUUAUUUUUGAUCUUGUAGUCAUUAAAAAAAGAAUAUGAGAUUAAAAAACCUUCAAAUUAGGCAACUAGGAUUAAAAGCUUUCUAUUGUUUGGCUUAAUAACACAAUUUAAGUGUGAAUACUUCAGAAGUGUAGGAAGCCUUUAUGCUUCCAUACCUUAUGUAUUUUGUUUAUUUCUAUGAAAGUACUUUAAAGAUUUAAAUCUCCUACAGCAAAUAAACUAUGCUCAUGCUUGGAAAACGAGAUACUGCGAGGGAUUUUGGGCUUGGAAAUAUUCUGAGUAUCUAUUAUGCAUAAAAAUAAAAAUUUCUGAAGACAAAUGCACAACAGUCAUUACAAGUUUUGUUUUUCUAUAUUCCUAAGUUUGGUGUAUUUUCUUUUAACAAAUUAUUUUGGGUGCAACACAAGCACAGGAAUAUCCUUCUUUCAGUGUCUGAUCCGCUGAGCCAAUGUGCCUUAUUAACAAUACAUGAGGAGCGUACCUAAAUAUAUUUAAGGAAAUUCAACUUGACUCUCGUUAUUUACAAUUCAAAUGUUCAAUCUUGCUUUGGAAAUCUGAUUUUCAGUGUACGUUAAAUAAACAUGUUUUAUAUGAAGAGGC
ensembl:lncRNA